GGCUCAGAGAUGGUAAAGAAUCUGCCUGCCAUGCAGGAGACCCAGGUUCGAUCCCUGGGUCG
rnacentral:tRNA from 1 species